GCCGGGAUACAAUUUGAUCUAAAUCCAUUGAGUCCGGGAACACCACGACAUGUUCAUUUUCUAGGUGAAAUUGUAACCUUUCAACCGCAGGCUCUCUGUACUGAAGAGGAAACUGAAAUAUGCGCCAUGCGGCUUCACAUCCAGAUAUGUACCGGGCAUCAAGCUUGAGGAUCUCUUUCCUUUUCCGCCUAGCUUCCUUUGCUGCUGCUCUAAUGAUGUCUGAUUGACUAUCAUUAGAUUCGAGUGUUGCUAGUUUGGAGGCUGCUUGCUCAGUGCGUGUUCGACGCAUGUUGACUGCGGCUAGUGAAUCCUGAAAUAAAUGAGGCACCACAUUGUUUGCAAGGAUGCUGAAGGUAUUUGUAUGGAACAGAUAGUUUCCUGAUAAGAUUCUUUUUCAUAUGGAUUGUUUUCC
rnacentral:rRNA from 1 species